rnacentral:rRNA from 1 species
AGGAUGAACGCUGGCGGCGUGCCUAACACAUGCAAGUCGAACGCUCUCCAUUCGGUAGCAAUACUGAUGAAGAGGGAGUGGCGAACGGGUGAGUACCACGUGAGCAACCUGCCCCGAAGACUGGGACAACACCGGGAAACCGGUGCUAAUACCGGAUAUCCCUAUCGGAUCGCAUGAUCUGAUAAGGAAAUGGAUUCCGCUUCGGGAGGGGCUCGCGGCCUAUCAGCUAGUUGGUGAGGUAAUAGCUCGCCAAGGCAUCGACGGGUAGCUGGUCUGAGAGGACGAUCAGCCACACUGGGACUGAGACACGGCCCAGACUCCUACGGGAGGCAGCAGUGGGGAAUCUUGCGCAAUGGGCGAAAGCCUGACGCAGCAACGCCGCGUGGAGGACGAAUGCUUUCUGAGUUGUAAACUCCUUUCAGCAGGGACGAUUGUGACGGUACCUGCAGAAGAGCACCGGCCAACUACGCG